AAGUGAGAAUGCCGGUGUGAGUAGCGAAAGACGGGUGAGAAUCCCGUCCACCGAUUGACUAAGGUUUCCAGAGGAAGGCUCGUCCGCUCUGGGUUAGUCGGGUCCUAAGCUGAGGCCGACAGGCGUAGGCGAUGGAUAACAGGUUGAUAUUCCUGUACCACCUAUAAUCGUUUUAAUCGAUGGGGGGACGCAGUAGGAUAGGCGAAGCGUGCGAUUGGAUUGCACGUCUAAGCAGUAAGGCUGAGUAUUAGGCAAAUCCGGUACUCGUUAAGGCUGAGCUGUGAUGGGGAGAAGACAUUGUGUCUUCGAGUCGUUGAUUUCACACUGCCGAGAAAAGCCUCUAGAUAGAAAAUAGGUGCCCGUACCGCAAACCGACACAGGUAGUCAAGAUGAGAAUUCUAAGGUGAGCGAGCGAACUCUCGUUAAGGAACUCGGCAAAAUGACCCCGUAACUUCGGGAGAAGGGGUGCUCUUUAGGGUUAACGCCCA
rnacentral:rRNA from 1 species